GACGAACGCUGGCGGCGUGCUUAACACAUGCAAGUCGAGCGGUAAGGCCCUUUCGGAGGUACACGAGCGGCGAACGGGUGAGUAACACGUGGGUGACCUGCCCUCAGCUCUGGGAUAAGCCUGGGAAACCGGGUCUAAUACUGGAUAUGACUCCAUGACGCAUGUUGUGGGGUGGAAAGCCUUGUGCGGCUGAGGAUGGGCCCGCGGCCUAUCAGCUUGUUGGUGGGGUGAUGGCCUACCAAGGCGACGACGGGUAGCCGGCCUGAGAGGCGACCGGCCACACUGGGACUGAGACACGGCCCAGACUCCUACGGGAGGCAGCAGUGGGGAAGUCUUGCGCAAUGGGCGAAAAGACCUGACGCAGCGACGCCGCGUGAGGGAUGACGGCC
rnacentral:rRNA from 1 species